rnacentral:rRNA from 1 species
AACGAACGCUGGCGGCGUGCCUAACACAUGCAAGUCGAGCGGGCCCUCCUUAGCUCCGCAAGGAGCGACGGAGGGUCAGCGGCGCACGGGUGAGUAACACGUGAGUAAUCUGCCUUCGAGACCGGGAUAACUUGCCGAAAGGCGGGCUAAUACCGGACAAGACCACACCUUCUUCGGGAGGCGGGGUCAAAGAUGGCCACUAUUUAUCAGUUAUCACUUGGAGAUGAGCUCGCGGCCCAUCCGCUAGUUGGUAGGGUAAUGGCCUACCAAGGCGAUGACGGGUAGCUGGUCUGAGAGGACGACCAGCCACACUGGAACUGAGACACGGUCCAGACUCCUACGGGAGGCAGCAGUGGGGAAUAUUGCGCAAUGGAGGAAACUCUGACGCAGCAACGCCGCGUGGGUGAUGAAGGCCUUCGGGUCGUAAAGCCCUGUCAGCGGGGAAGAAACUCCGGGGAGCGAAUAGGUCUCCGGAUUGACGGUACCCGCGGAGGAAGCACCGGCUAACUCCGUGCCAGCCGCCGCCGUAA